rnacentral:rRNA from 1 species
CCGACGGCCCCCCUGAACGCUGUCUGAAGUUGCAGUCUGAGACCUAUAACGAAAUUAAUUAAAACUUUCAACAACGGAUCUCUUGGUUCCGGCAUCGAUGAAGAACGCAGCGAAAUGCGAUAACUAAUGUGAAUUGCAGAAUUCAGUGAAUCAUCGAGUCUUUGAACGCACAUUGCGCCCUCUGGUAUUCCGGAGGGCAUGCCUGUCCGAGCGUCAUUGCUGCCCUCAAGCCCGGCUUGUGUGUUGGGCCCCGUCCCCCCCGCCGGGGGGACGGGCCCGAAAGGCAGCGGCGGCACCGCGUCCGGUCCUCGAGCGUAUGGGGCUUCGUCACCCGCUCUUGUAGGCCCGGCCGGCGCCAGCCGACCCCCAACCUUUAACUAUCUCAGGUUGACCUCGGAUCAGGUAGGGAUACCCGCUGAACUUAAGCAUAUCAAUAGCCCGGAGGAAA